GACGAACGCUGGCGGCGUGCCUAAUACAUGCAAGUAGAACGCACAGUUUAUACCGUAGCUUGCUACACCAUAGACUGUGAGUUGCGAACGGGUGAGUAACGCGUAGGUAACCUGCCUGGUAGCGGGGGAUAACUAUUGGAAACGAUAGCUAAUACCGCAUAAUAUUAAUUAUUGCAUGAUAAUUAAUUGAAAGGUGCAAUUGCACCACUACCAGAUGGACCUUCGUUGUUUUAGCUAGUAGGUGAGGUAAUGGCUCAUCUAGGCGACGAUACAUAGCCGACCGGAGAGGGUGGGCAGCCACACUGGGACUGAGACACGCCCCAGACGCCUACGGGAGGCAGCAGUAGGGAAUCUUCGGCAAUGGACGAAAGUCUGACCGAGAAACGCCGCGUGAGUGAAGAAGGAUUUCGGAUCGUAAAGCUCUGUUGUAAGAGAAGAACGGGUGUGAGAGUGGAAAGUUCACACUGUGACGGUAUCUUACCAGAAAGGGACGGCUAACUACGUG
rnacentral:rRNA from 1 species